CGCCGAACUCCAAAGCGGCGUGACUGUGGCAGGGUGAGCAGGUGCUCCGUACAGCCAGCAGCAUGAGUCUCCGGAACAAGCACUGUCCAAACUCUAGUGUCAUGUAUGCUGACCGCACUGAAUUCAGAAGUGGACUGGGUUUAUGAUGCUGCCAUUAGCUGAAAUCUGCUCUCGCAGGUUUUAAGACCAAUUAAGGUCUAACAUCUCUGAAUAGCCCAUGGAAGCAGACCUGUAAGUACCAAGGAUCUUGGCAGAGAAGAAAUGCCCAGGCUCUGGUCAACCGAGCUGCACACACUUGGAAUACUGGAGCUCAAGUCUGUGCUUCUGAGAUAACCCGUCUAGGUGACUACAGCUGAGUGUGAAGCAGGGGUGUGGCAUCGGUGAAGUGGAACUUGACAUCUUUAUACACAUCAAGGAGUUGCUGUGGGAAACCUGCUGACAUAGGAGAGCUUUAAAAGAGCUCUCAGAACCCUGAGAAUCUUUAAGUGGAGUGUACAGCAUGUAGCAUUUCCCCAAGCUCGGAACCCUGGUGUUCUGUCAAGGAACGUAAAUUCUGUGAAUACAUGCUGGAUAACACCUUAAGACUGCUCUAACAUCAAAAUAAAGAUUAUGACCAGUUUUUGUGAACAACAACAUAUGAGUAAAACCCUGGUUACUUAUAUGCCCUUCUUGACUAAGUCUGAAGACCCCCUCAAGUCCUUUCAAUUGGAAUGGAUUCUGGCCACCUGCCCGCCCCCCCACCCCCAGCCCCUUGCGAACAGGCAGGGGAGGGAGCCCGGUGUCACACUCCACCUGCGGUGACUGCGCGGUCACACACCACUCCGCCCGGGCAGCCUCCUCCAGCUCAUCCACAGCCUGGGGGCCUCAUCUCACAAACCAAGGCCACAGUGGGAGGAGGAGUGAACUAUUCUGCACGGGAUAUGACUGACCUCCGUGUUGACCCGCGCUUCCUAUCUAUUCUCCUGUACCUCAUGCCAACCAACUACCUAAAAAUAUCAGAGCGAAAGCUGGGCUGUAGGACCUCAGUGUUGUCCAUUUCU